CGAAGGGACCUAGCGUAGUUCGGAAUUACUGGGCUUAAAGAGUUCGUAGGUGGUUGAAAAAGUUAGUGGUGAAAUCCCAGAGCUUAACUCUGGAACUGCCAUUAAAACUUUUCAGCUAGAGUAUGAUAGAGGAAAGCAGAAUUUCUAGUGUAGAGGUGAAAUUCGUAGAUAUUAGAAAGAAUACCAAUUGCGAAGGCAGCUUUCUGGAUCAUUACUGACACUGAGGAACGAAAGCAUGGGUAGCGAAGAGGAUUAGAUACCCUCGUAGUCCAUGCCGUAAACGAUGUGUGUUAGACGUUGGAAAUUUAUUUUCAGUGUCGCAGGGAAACCGAUAAACACACCGCCUGGGGAGUACGACCGCAAGGUUAAAACUCAAAUGAAUUGACGGGGACCCGCACAAGUAGUGGAGCAUGUGGUUUAAUUCGAAGAUACGCGCAGAACCUUACCAACACUUGACAUGUUCGUCGCGACUCUAAGAGAUUAGAGUUUUCGGUUCGGCCGGACGAAACACAGGUGCUGCAUGGCUGUCGUCAGCUCGUGUCGUGAGAUGUUGGGUUAAGUCCCGCAACGAGCGCAACCCUCACUUUUAGUUGCCAUCAUUAAGUUGGGCACUCUGAAAGAACUGCCAGUGAUAAGCUGGAGGAAGGUGGGGAUGACGUCAAGUCCUCAUGGCCCUUACGUGUUGGGCUACACACGUGCUACAAUGGUAUUUACAACAGGAAGCAAGACUGCGAGGUCAAGCAAAUCCCUAAAAGAUACCUCAGUUCGGAUUGCACUCUGCAACUCGAGUGCAUGAAGCUGGAAUUACUAGUAAUCGUGGAUCAGCGUGCCACGGUGAAUGCGUUCCCGGGUCUUGUACACACCGCCCGUCACACCAUGGGAGUUGGUUCUACCUUAAGGCAAGGUUUCAAACCCUUGACCACGGUAUAGUCAGCGACUGGGGUGAAGUCGUAACAAGG
rnacentral:rRNA from 1 species